GCCAAUGAUGAAUUUAGAAUUGCAUGAACAAGUCUAGUAAGGAUUGUUGAGUCAGUGAUAUGAUUUUCUUGACAUGAAUUGAAUCUUUAUCUGAUUGACACUGAUAUUAUAGGAAAGCACUUUGAAAAAUGACCAUGUUGGCUAUGAUAGUUUAAAUGGUUAGAUAAUAGAGUUCUAAAGGAUCAUUGCUAGUGAAGUGAAAGGAUAAUUUGAAUAGCUAGUGAAGACGAAAUUUAUACAUAAACUCGAGUUUGGGGGAAAAAUAUUUGGAAUAUAUAAGCG
rnacentral:lncRNA from 1 species